AUGUCCACCACCGAGGUGCUCCUCGCCGGCCCGGGCAGUGUCGGCGGCGGCGAGCGCCUGAGCAUCGACGACGCGCUGGCGCUGCACGCGGGGGAGUUCGGGCGGUGGCAGCUGCGGCACUUCCUGCUGGUGACGGCGGCGUGGAUUCUGGAGGCGAUGCACACCAUGGUCAUGGUCUUCGCCGACCGCGAGCCGGCCAUGUCGUGCCCCGCGGGGGACGGCCGGUGCGGCGACCGCUGCGCCGGCGCCGCGGCCGGGUGGGAGUGGGACCAGGGGAGCGGCUCCUCGACGGUGGCCGAGUGGGGACUCGUCUGCGGCGAGAGCUACAAGGUCGGCCUCGUCCAUGCUCUCUAUUUCGCCAGCGCCAUGAUCGGCGCUGGCAUCUUUGGACACUUAUCAGACUCUUCUCUAGGUCGGAAGGGAUCCCUCUUGGCGGUGUGCUCCCUCAAUGCCAUUUUCGGCCUCCUCACCGCGCUCUCCCCCAACUAUUGGGCCUACGUGGCCUUGCGCAUCCUCACGGGCUUUAGCGCUGGCAGCAUUUGCCUUUGCUCCUUCAUCCUUGCCACAGAGCCCGUAGGGCCCUCCUAUCGUGGCGUUGUUGGCAUGUCGACAUGUUAUUUCUUCUCCGGCGGCAUCGCGAUCCUUGCCGGCAUCGCCGCGAUGUUCCAGUCCUCCUGGCGCCUCCUCUAUGUCGUGACCUCCAUGCCCUCCCUCGUCUUCGUGCUCACCAUCAUGCCGUUCGUCUCUGAGUCCCCACGUUGGUACCUUGUGCGGAGGCGCGCCGAGGAUGCAAUGCGCGUCAUACGAGACAUUGCGUCCACCAAUCGAAAGAGCAUCCCAGAUGGCAUCACACUCAAGAUCGACAAUGAGGAUGACAUCAACAAGAAUAUCGAGGAGUCGUCGUCAAUCCUAGACGUGUUUCGGUCACGAACGACGCGGGGCAGGCUGGUGCUGUCAGUGCUCAUCAGUUUCCUUUGUUCGGUAGUAUACUACGGGCUGAGCCUCAAUGUGGUCAAUCUAAAGAUUAACCUUUACAUCAGUGUGGCUGUUAACUCUCUCGCCGAAAUGCCCGCAUUUCUUCUCACUACGGUGCUCCUCCAACACUUGGGUCGGAAGCCACUCGCCAUUGGCUCGAUGCUUCUCAGCGGUGUUUUCUGUACAUCUGCCAGUCUUAUUACCGGCGUCGGUGCCAUGAGGGCGCUGAGGAUGGCAUGUGGGGUGGUAGGAAUCUUCGGAAUGGCCGCGACAUAUAACCUAUUGGUUGUAUACACAGCAGAGUUGUUCCCUACGACGGUGCGUACUGCGGCGAUGGGAUGUACGUUACAAGCUUCCAAGAUGGGUGCCAUACUAGCACCCAUGGUAGUGUUACUCGGGGAGCGGAUGCCAUUCGCGGUGUUUGGCAUGUUGGGUAUCAUCGGUGGGCUACUCGUGUUCUGCCUCCCAGAGACUAUGCACAAGCCAUUGUAUGACACCAUGUUCGGGUUGGAGAAGGGCGAGGGAGAAUUUGUAAAUAAAGGGGAAAUUACAAGAGGAAACUCCGAAAUUUGA
rnacentral:rRNA from 1 species